rnacentral:rRNA from 1 species
AGGACGAACGCUGGCGGCGUGCUUAACACAUGCAAGUCGAACGGUGACGACGGGGCUUGCUCUGUCUGAUCAGUGGCGAACGGGUGAGUAACACGUGAGUAACCUGCCCCCGACUCUGGAAUAACCGUGGGAAACGACGGCUAAUACCGGAUAUGAGGCGCACGGGCAUCUGUGUGUCUGGAAAGAUUUAUCGGUCAGGGAUGGACUCGCGGCCUAUCAGCUUGUUGGUGGGGUAAUGGCCUACCAAGGCGACGACGGGUA